CCUACGGGGGUCAGCAGUGGGGAAUAUUGCACAAUGGGGGAAACCCUGAUGCAGCGACGCCGCGUGAGUGAAGAAGUAUUUCGGUACGUAAAGCUCUAUCAGCAGGGAAGAAAAUGACGGUACCUGACUAAGAAGCCCCGGCUAACUACGUGCCAGCAGCCGCGGUAAUACGUAGGGGGCAAGCGUUAUCCGGAUUUACUGGGUGUAAAGGGAGCGUAGACGGCAGCGCAAGUCUGGAGUGAAAUCCCAUGGCUUAACCAUGGAACUGCUUUGGAAACUGUGCAGCUAGAGUGCAGGAGAGGUAAGCGGAAUUCCUAGGGUAGCGGUGAAAUGCGUAGAUAUUAGGAGGAACACCAGUGGCGAAGGCGGCUUACUGGACUGUAACUGACGUUGAGGCUCGAAAGCGUGGGGAGCAAACAGGAUUAGAUACCCUUGUAGUC
rnacentral:rRNA from 1 species